CCCUUAGAUGUCCUGGGCCGCACGCGCGUUACACUGAUGCAUUCAACGAGCUUAUAACCUUGGCCGAGAGGCCUGGGCAAUCUUGUUAACGUGCAUCGUGAUAGGGAUAGAUUAUUGAAAUUAUUAAUCUUGAACGAGGAAUUCCUAGUAAACGCAGAUCAUCAAUCUGCAUUGAUUACGUCCCUGCCCUUUGUACACACCGCCCGUCGCACCUACCGAUUGAGUGAUCCGGUGAAUAAUUCGGACUGCAGCAAUGUUUGGAUCCCGAACGUUGCAGCGGAAAGUUUAGUGAACCUUAUCACUUAGAGGAAGGAGAAGUCGUAACA
rnacentral:rRNA from 1 species